UCUCUCUCAACUCCCUCGUCUCGCACCUUCUUUUUCCUCGUUAGGCAUCCGCUCACUACUGUCUCCUCCAUUGAAGCAGAGAUCUCCUCCUCCUCCUCCUCCUCUGUUUGUCCCCUUUUCUCCGUCCGAUUCUCCUGAUUCCACCGACCUCGCGAUCUUCCUUAAUCACCGCGUUUCUCUGCCUGCAUUCUCCUUCUUCUGCUUUAUUCCAUUUCCUCCACCUCUUCCGACCUGUAAUUUCGCUGUUUCUUGACGAAUAUCGGUCCGCCUUCGACCGCGAACCGUCUGUUUGGCUGCCUAGAAAAUUCCAGAAAAUUACAAGCUUAAAUGAAACUGAGAAAGAAUCGCGUAAUAGUAGAGUCCUUAUCGUAAGCCCUACGUCAAAAUAAUAUUAUUGUAGAGGAAAUUUAUUUUGUUUUGGAGACAGACGCCUUCGCUAUGCAAUUCAGUCAGGAUGUCAAAUCAUUACAGAUGCUGUCGGUGAAAUAUCAAACUGCGUGAACAUGAAGGUAAACACCUCAUACACCAUUUUGUGAAAUACAAUACUUCAGUGGACCAAACCUGA
rnacentral:sRNA from 1 species